rnacentral:rRNA from 1 species
CACCAUGAGAGUUUGUAACACCCAAAGCCGGUGGGGUAACCUUUUGGAGCCAGCCGUCUAAGGUGGGACAGAUGAUUGGGGUGAAGUCGUAACAAGGUAAC